CUUAAUAUUUUUAUUUUGGCAAGCAUAGAACUUUACUACUUACUAAAGAUGAAAUUUGAGAUCUUGUGCCCUCUUUGGGUGUGCAGAUAUAUCUGGUGUGCAGAUAUACAUGGAAGCAGAAUGUUGUAUACAUAAUAAAUAAAUAAAAUCUUUGGGCUGGAGAGAUGGCUCAGCCGUUAAAGGCUAGGCUCACAACCAAAACAAAGUUGUUUGUAAGAGCAGACUCAAUCUUAUUUAAUGCAUAUGUUUGCAUGCAGGGACACCAGAACAAGAUCUUAUGUGUCAGAGAAGCAGAAAUUCACGAAGAAAAGUGAUCUGCCAUCAAACCAACAUGCUCAGCUGCAAGUGUCUGGAGUGACCCAUAGGGCAGUGGUGUGUUCACAAUGUGUAUGGGAGGAAAGCAGAGAUAAAAUGCUCUCGGAGGAAUUAGAAAGUAUAAUGGAUUAAUUCUGUUCCACCUGAACUCCUCUCCUUCCCAGCAUCCAUAUCAUCAGGUGAAGAGCCAGGAAUGAAGAAGGCAAGUAUAAGCAUUCAUGAAUAACAUCAUUGACUUCAUUUGAAACAGGCAAAAGAUCUGCUUCCAAAGCUGGAGAAAGGGUAAAGAGAUACAGGAAGCAUCUGUGGCCACAUACAUUAAAGAUUUAGAAAUUUUGAAUAAGUUGCUGACAAAGAUUUGGAGUAAGAAUUUUGCCAAUAGAAAAAUGAUUUGCCAUAAAACAUGCAGAAAAUUAGAAGGAAAAAAUGAAAAAUCCACGAAGGAUUUCCUUUAUUGUUCAAAAUGAUUAGCACACACAUCUUAACAAUUUCUUUCUCCUCAAAUAUAAGAGAAAUAUGUUAAUCUUUAAAAAUAGAACUGUGAAGCAUUGAGUUCCUUUUAUUUGGGAUUUUUCUCUCUAGGAGAAAUCUGUCUAGAAGCAAACCAAUGUGUUCUUGGAUUUUCUCUAUUGAUAAAAACAAUUCUGAUUUCUAGGUGAAUAAAAAGCAAAGCUUUUCAAACA
rnacentral:lncRNA from 1 species